rnacentral:lncRNA from 1 species
UAAUUUAUUGUUUCCUAGUUUGUGACUUUCUUUGUACAAAUCUUUCAACCCUAUAAAGGGUGACUGUAAUUCUCAGAAACAAAACAAGCAAUAAAAUUACAAUCUCAUAGCCUAAUCCUUUCUAGGUUCUUCAUAACUAUGUCGAUACCAUGUUCUAACAUGGUAUCAGAAUAGGUUUGAUACUUGGAACUCAGAAAUUGUUCAUCAUUGUUCCAAAACCUUUUCUCACCCUUUGUUCAUCAUUGUUCCAAAAUCUUUUCUCACCCUUUCUUUCUUUAAAAAAAAAAAAAAAACAAUCAAAGGCAGCAGUAGCCUUAUCUUCUUCUUUCCUGCAAAAAAAAAAUUGCCAGAUUUCAGGAGAGAUUCAAACCACCAACUCAGCCUCA